AGUGAACGCUGGCGGUAGGCCUAACACAUGCAAGUCGAACGGCAGCACAGUAAGAGCUUGCUCUUACGGGUGGCGAGUGGCGGACGGGUGAGGAAUACAUCGGAAUCUACUUUUUCGUGGGGGAUAACGUAGGGAAACUUACGCUAAUACCGCAUACGACCUACGGGUGAAAGCAGGGGAUCUUCGGACCUUGCGCGAUUGAAUGAGCCGAUGUCGGAUUAGCUAGUUGGCGGGGUAAAGUCCCACCAAGGCAACGAUCCGUAGCUGGUCUGAGAGGAUGAUCAGCCACACUGGAACUGAGACACGGUCCAGACUCCUACGGGAGGCAGCAGUGGGGAAUAUUGGACAAUGGGCGCAAGCCUGAUCCAGCCAUACCGCGUGGGUGAAGAAGGCCUUCGGGUUGUAAAGCCCUUUUGUUGGGAAAGAAAAGCAGCAGGUUAAUACCCCGCUGUUCUGACGGUACCCAAAGAAUAAGCACCGGCUAACUUCGUG
rnacentral:rRNA from 1 species